rnacentral:rRNA from 1 species
UUGGAGAGUUUUGAUCCUGGCUCAGGAUGAACGCUAGCGGGAGGCCUAACACAUGCAAGCCGAGCGGUAGAUUGCUUUCGGGCAAUUGAGAGCGGCGCACGGGUGCGGAACACGUGUGCAACCUGCCUUUAUCUGGGGGAUAGCCUUUCGAAAGGAAGAUUAAUACCCCAUAAUAUAUUGAUUGGCAUCAAUUAAUAUUGAAAGCUCCGGCGGAUAGAGAUGGGCACGCGCAAGAUUAGAUAGUUGGUGAGGUAACGGCUCACCAAGUCAAUGAUCUUUAGGGGGCCUGAGAGGGUGAUCCCCCACACUGGUACUGAGACACGGACCAGACUCCUACGGGAGGCAGCAGUGAGGAAUAUUGGACAAUGGGUGAGAGCCUGAUCCAGCCAUCCCGCGUGAAGGACGACGGCCCUAUGGGUUGUAAACUUCUUUUGUACAGGGAUAAACCUACCCUCGUGAGGGUAGCUGAAGGUACUGUACGAAUAAGCACCGGCUAACUCCGUGCCAGCAGCCCGCGGUAA